rnacentral:rRNA from 1 species
AACGAACGCUGGCGGCAUGCCUAACACAUGCAAGUCGAACGAGACCUUCGGGUCUAGUGGCGCACGGGUGCGUAACGCGUGGGAAUCUGCCCUGGGGUGCGGAAUAACUCGGAGAAAUCCGUGCUAAUACCGCAUAAUGUCUUCGGACCAAAGAUUUAUCGCCCUGGGAUGAGCCCGCGUAGGAUUAGCUAGUUGGUGGGUAAAGGCCUACCAAGGCGACGAUCCUUAGCUGGUCUGAGAGGAUGAUCAGCCACACUGGGACUGAGACACGGCCCAGACUCCUACGGGAGGCAGCAGUGGGGAAUAUUGGACAAUGGGCGAAAGCCUGAUCCAGCAAUGCCGCGUGAGUGAUGAAGGCCCUAGGGUUGUAAAGCUCUUUUACCCGGGAUGAUAAUGACAGUACCGGGAGAAUAAAGCUCCGGCUAAACUCCCGU